rnacentral:rRNA from 1 species
CAAGAACGACUCCUGACAACGGAUAUCUCGGCUCUCGCAUCGAUGAAGAACGUAGCGAAAUGCGAUACUUGGUGUGAAUUGCAGAAUCCCGUGAACCAUCGAGUCUUUGAAUGCAAGUUGCGCCCGAAGCCGUCAGGUUGAGGGCACGUCUGCCUGGGUGUCACAC